rnacentral:rRNA from 1 species
GGUUCUCACGCUGGAACGCGGAGAAUCUCAAACGCUACGGCGCUACAGGAUGUGGCUGCGGCCGAUUAGGUAGACGGUGGGGUAACGGCCCACCGUGCCGAUAAUCGGUACGGGUUGUGAGAGCAAGAGCCCGGAGACGGAAUCUGAGACAAGAUUCCGGGCCCUACGGGGCGCAGCAGGCGCGAAACCUUUACACUGCACGCCAGUGCGAUAAGGGGACCCCAAGUGUGAGGGCAUAUAGCCCUCACUUUUGUGUACCGUAGGGAGGUACACGAAUAAGAGCUGGGCAAGACCGGUGCCAGCCGCCGCGGUAAUACCGGCAGCUCGAGUGAUGACCGAUUUUAUUGGGCCUAAAGCGUCCGUAGCUGGCCGCGUAGGUUCGUCGGGAAAUCCACCUGCUCAACAGGUGGGCGUCCGGCGAAAACCACGUGGCUUGGGACCGGAAGGCUCGAGGGGUACGUCCGGGGUAGGAGUGAAAUCCCGUAAUCCUGGACGGACCGCCGAUGGCGAAAGCACCUCGAGAAGACGGAUCCGACAGUGAGGGACGAAAGCUGGGGUCUCGAACCGGAUUAGAUACCCGGGUAGUCCCAGCCGUAAACAAUGCCUGUUAGGUGUGGCACCGACUACGAGUCGGUGCUGUGCCGUAGGGAAGCCGAUAAACAGGCCGCCUGGGAAGUACGUCCGCAAGGAUGAAACUUAA